CACUAGUAGCCUUCACCUGACUCUAAAGGCUCAGGUGACUCCCACCUGAAUCUUCCCCAAGUUGCCUUUAAAACUCUUUUUAAUGUACUGUUCACCAGCUGGGGAAGGUGGAACUCAAGCUUUAUGCUUCUCCCAUGGGUACUAGACCUGGUCUUGAGCCUGUUUCUGUGCUUAACACUAAUCUAAUUCAAGGAGAAUAAGACACCUUUGCUCACCGAUUUGUAUUUCAAAACACAGAAGAUAUGUGCUAAGUCUACUAACACUGUCAGUCUCAAAGAUAUGUAUCUUUUUCGUGCUUGUUUGUUUUGUCUGCUAUUCUUUCAGCUCUCUCCUGGAUCUUGAUAUGAGGUACACAAGAUUCAAUGAGCCUAGUCUACCCCUGAUGUAGCUUCAGUGAAAUGAGUGGGGUAACACCAGAGAUGGAUUUGCCUGAUUUGUAAAAUGGAAAUGAAUAAAUACAUAAUUAUAUCCAUAACUUUCAGCAUUACGACAUCUGUUCUUUCUGGGUAAACCUGGAUCUUUUGGCAGCAUAGCAGAUACAUUCUAUCUGGAUGAAGACAGAACAUUUGGCAGUGGUCAAGUGGUUAUGCUCACCCCUCAUUGUAAACUUAGGGCUUGAUCCAAGUCUCAUUGAGUUUGCUGGGAACAGAAUUGUGCCUUGAAAUG